AGCACGAUGGAGCGCACGUGGAAACGAGCUUUAAAGGAACUCGAUAUGGUUGGGUGCUCGUACGAAAUACUGGGCGAAAUAAUGAUGCCGUGAAACGAGGUACGAUCUCUGGCGGCUCCCAGAAAUCUCGUGUGUACAAAUUAACGAUGGAAUUCGAUUACGUGAGUGCACAUACAUUUAAAGUUGAAUACGGAUGGGAGAUUGAUGAAAAUGACGUUCGCAUCAUUCGAAACACUUCGCGCUUACAGUGUUAAAUUAUGUGGAUAAUACAUUUCUCAUAUUAUUAUCGUUGUUCUUUGCCAUUUAUGGAACAGUGUUUAAAUACAUUUUCUGUUGAAACGAGCCUCGUGUUCUCUGUAUCCGCAAAGAUCGAACAGAAGCCGGAUUAUCGUCUCGAUCGCGAUCGUUGCUUGUGACUGGGAUCGCCGACUGUUCGAACAAAAGCAUUGCAAACGGAUAAAUCUUUGUGGAAACACGAUUCCAAGUACCUUUUGUUCCUCCCUCGUUCAGAAAUUAAUUUAAAAUUGAUACGCUGAUUUGGAAGCAUAAAUCCUGUUAUUAUUAAUAACACGUUACAAAUGACGUGGAGAUAUUAUAAUUAUCUAUGAUGAAGAUCGCGUGUGUCAUAAAAAUCUAGGAAGAAAUGAAACUUAGCCCGGAAUCUUAAUUAAACCAUCACUGGUGUGAAAAUAAUUGGCGAAUUUACUAUUCCUUUGAUGUCAGAUAACAUAGAUUUCUCCUAAUUAAGCUUGACUUACGCCAACAAGAUUUGUCCAUCAAUUCCAUAAGACCUAGAAUUAAAAUUGAUACUUUCAAAACGAUACGAAACAAAGCAUUUCGUACAAUUCAAAUAAUUUUUUUAAAAAAAUUUGAAAACUAAACGAUAAAAAUUUAAAAAAAAAAUUGUGUAAAGAAACAAUCUAAAUUUAAUAAUUCUCUUAUAUGUUAUAUAUAAGUAAAUAUUAUAUAUUCAGCAUUAUAUUCUUGAACAGAAACAAAAUUCAAAAAUAUAUGUGUUAGAAAAAAAUGUUUUAUAAAAACAUAUCACAGUACACUACACAUUCAAUGUGAUGUAAAUUCACUGUUGGAUUUCAAUCUAUAAGUUGAGAAACGCUGAUCUAUAUAACACUAUUUUCUAUAACAUUGUAUAUCAAAUGGAAAAUAUAAAUCUUCUUUUAAUCUUUUCAUAUAGGUCGAAUAUUUGACAAAAAUAACGAGUUAACUAGCCACAGUACAUCACGUAUUUUCCAAAUGAAGCAAUUCUAAUUCAAUCCAUUUGAAAAACGAUUUGAAUCCAAGUCAAUGAUCGAUGGAGGAAAACAACUCAAGGGUCACCGUCCGUUCGUAUCAAAAGAAGGAUAUUUCCAGGAUCUUUUCUAGAUAGGACAGGCGUGCACAGGCAGAGUAUGUGUCGUGGCCGAUAAUUAUCGACGAGGCUGAUCGUGCGUGCGGCCAGAAAAAUGGCGAGCAACGGGACAGGUCGGUCGGCGACUACUGCCUAGACCGCGGUCUCCUGUCGAUGUCGAAUGAAGAUGUCCCGGCUACGUUCUCCCUUGCCUACGUACCAGCUGGAAUAAGUGUGGGUAAUUUGCUCGACUGGCUAGACCACUUGUUUUGCGGAGGGAACCGAUGCCGUUUAAGAGACCGUGCCACCGAGCAAAUCCUCGUUCACGUAUGUGUUACGUAAUCCAUGUGCACGAUUAUUGUAUUGGAUGAAAAUGGAUCUGUGAGAGAUGGAUUUAUGAUUUUGGAAGAUAGAUUUUUCUUGUAUAAAAUCAUGGGAUAAGAACAUGGACAAAGUUUGCAAUUAUGGAAUAAUGAUAUUGAAAUUUGAUCUCAAGAGUUAAAAAAGAUAUAAUCAUGUUUUGAUAAUGUUUUAUGAAAGAAACUCUUGCUACAUCAUCAAUUAGUAAUACAAAUUAUUUUAUGUAUAAAAAGAAAGAAUAUAAGAAUACAAGAUUAGUGAAAAAUAUUUGAGAAAUAGACCAUUAAUGAAAUGUGUGAAUUUUUAACAACAAAAGUUGUUAUCUUGUCUUUAACUGAUUAAAAUUCUAGAUUUUCGAGAAUUUCAAGGUAGUCUAGUUUGUCUUGACAUGCAAAAAUGUGAUUUUUGAUCAAACAUCUAAAACAUUCGAUAAGAGAUAUGACUCAAAUGCGUUUAAAAAAAAAAUAGUUGAAGGCUGAUUGCAUGAAACAUGCAAAGUGAAAAUAGGUGUCGAACACGAAAUAAGAAUAAUAAAAUAUCUAAUUGAAAGGUAUAGAUUAGUCAGACACGAUAUCAAAGUUAAUUGCAACUUAGAGCAAAGAAAUGAGAAAACGCAAAGUAUUCAGUCGACCUUUGACAACUCGCUCGGAACACAGAGAGGCCAUACGUCAGGAAGACCGGUUAAUGGACACCAAAGUAACAACCGGCAGGUUUCCCUUUACUCUGUGCUAUGCGUUUAAGCAACAAGGGCCGGUGGGUAGAAUUAAUGAGGCACCAGUUUCCAGUAAUGUUAGUCGUGAUAGGAUCGACGGAUCAAAAUGCAGAUUUGUACGGAUGAAGAUUCUGGCACCGGUUCGAUUGCUGUACAUGUUCCAAUUUAAUGGUUUAAAUGCUACUAUGUUGUUAAGGUCAAGAUGUAUUUAGAGAUGUAUUUAGAGAUGUAUUUAGAGAUGUAUUUAGAGCUCGCGAUUAAACAUUUGAUAAAUAUUUUUUGAUCAACCAUUGAAGAUAUUUUAUAACAUAAAUAUUUAAUAAUUUUAGAUUUUUCAAAUUUUAUUUCUUUAUAAAUGAAAGUAAUAUUUUGGAAAGUAAUUAAAAUGUAUUGAUUCAGAAGAUAGAUUCUAAAAAAUUAUAAAAAUAAUUAUUUGUUUCAAAAUUUUGAUCAAUAGGAAAUUAAGUAUAUUAAUGUUAAGUACUUGUUAAUAUUAAGAAAGCAAAUAAGAAGAAAAAAAAUUAAUAACAUUGAUUGAAGCUCAAUUUACAUAUAGUGAAUAAUCAAUUGUAGAAACAAUACUAAUUGUACAAUGUGUAUAGUUUUAUAGAUAUGUCAUACUUAGUUGUGCAAGUAUAUAGAAAAUUAUAGGAUGCAUCGUUAUCAUUCAAAGACUUAUAAUAUACCUUAUUCAAACUAUGUUAGAUAUAUGAAGUCUUUCAACAUUUUCUAAGAUUAUCAUGAACCUAUGAUUUUAAAUGAUGAUUUGAAUGACUUGACAUUUUUGUAUUGAAUAUAUGAUGUGCCAUUUCAAUGAAAUCUAUUUCUGAAUAGAAA
rnacentral:lncRNA from 1 species